rnacentral:tRNA from 1 species
GCAUUUGUGAUUCAGUGGUAAAAUUCUUGCCUUCCGUGCUGGAGACCUGGGUUCAGUUCCUGGCCAAUGCA